CUUGUCUUAGUUUCUUUUUCCAUGGCCUAUCAAGAUAUGGAAGACAAAAUUUAACCAGGGCUGAGAAAGUCAGAUAAUUCCAAGGGUAAAGGUUUCCAGUGGCAUUUUGUGGACCGGCUCUGCCUCCACCAUCCUGCCAGAGGGCAAGGAGGUCUCUCCGGGAAGCCAGCAGACUCCAGUCCCACAAGAACCUUCCCAAGAAGGAUGAAGCCAGACAUGCAGAGAGAAUCUGAAGUGCUUCGUAACUGCAGGCCACAGAAGGAAAGAAAUGAAAGAUUUCCUACUUCAACAAAUAUGUGUGCCUUUUCCAAGUCACUGCUUCACGCCUGGAUCUCUGAAGCAGACCCAAAAGGCCCAAGUGCUCUGGGUUCAGGUGCUCUUUCUGCGUGGACAAUUAAGUGAAAGUUACAUGUCAACUCACAGACUGAUGCAAUGAAAUAACUUCUUUUUCCAUUUGGGAAUAAAAUUAUUCUUAGUAGCUUUUUAGAGCCUUGAUUAAAAGAUAAGCAUAAAAUAUGCCAAGAAUGAUGUCUGAAGACUUGGGAUAACAAUGAGCUGGGGAUGAUUAUUUCAAGAGUUUCAAGGCAAGGAGAAACCCAUAUUUUCUUAAGACAAAUGUGAGCAGCAUAUGCUUUUCAUUGUGCCCCUUUCCAGCCAUUUACAUAUCAGGGAAAUAUAUAUUUGGCGACAGAUCCUAUUUUUAGGAGACCUUGAGACCUGCCCUUUGAAAAUGUUUUCAUUUCUGGCACAUAUGAGUGUUUUAAGCAGAAUGCAAACACAAAGCAAAAAAAAACAAAAAAAAAAAAAAAAGAAAAGAAAAAUAUGUACAGAAAGAAAUGAUUUUUCCAGCUCCAUGUAGCACAAUAAGAAAACAAUCACUCGGUUGUGACUUCAGAAAUGGAUUCUUGCCUAGAUUUUCCAACUAUUUCCUUCUAAAUGCCUGCUUCUCUACAGAACUGAACUAAUGUAAAGAGACAGGUUGUUCCAGUGCCAGAAAUGAACAACAAAAAAUGAGGGAGGCUGUGUUUCCUGGGGAGGAACUUAACCAAAUAAUGCCCACUGUGUCGUCCUGCAGCUCUCAGGUGAAUUUAGAAGAAGCUGCCAUACCCACUGCAUGGUAUGGGGUGCAUAUUCCUGGCUUGACUCCGGAUCACCAUCAAGAUUUCUAUUAUUUGCAGUCAGUAACAAAGAUUCAUUCUUGUGUCAAUCACACAACAAGGAGAAUCUUUGUCACUUCAUGUAAUUAAUAGCUGAGCCACGCAUGGAAAGGUGGGAGACAAUGCUCUUCAUACCCAACUCCAGUGCCUUCAGGACUGGCUGCCACGAUCUUUGUGGCUUUUUAACCAACUAAGACACCAAAAUUCGGCAGAGAUGGAAACGGGCACAACUAUGGGUGAAGACAAUAGACAAUGGAUGGAAAUGCAACUGAUUUUGCCCAGGGCCUGCAGGUUGCUCAUGAAACUGCCAAGUCAAGAGAGAGAAGAAAAAAAACCCCACAAUUAUGGUUAAGCGUCAUCCAGCUCCCGGGCUGUGCAGCAGAACACCCAUGGGGCUGUCCAAGAGAGCCUCCCAGGGAGACUGCGCAGGUUCCUUCACAGAGACCACAGGGAACGAGAGGGCAGUGGAAGGAACAUGAACGGCCUCAAGUAGCAGCCUGCUCUUGGCAGGAGCUGCUGCUCAUUUUCUUUGGCUGGCUCUCACUACCUGUCUGAAAGCGCUGCGAUGCAGGAAGGAAAUUUUUCAAGAGAUUAAACUAUUAUUGUUUCCUGUG